UUCUUGAAUUGUUGUUUUUGUUAUCGGUCGAUUUUGGUGGUUUGGGGGUGUACUUGGGUACGGGGUCAUCGAUCGAUAUCGGCUGUUUUGCAGAUAUCUGCGGUCCGACGAUCGGUAAGGUUGAGGAGAUCGUUAGGGUCUCGUGCGGUACUGACUAGAGCAGUGGUUCUUCGGGGAGAAUUUGGAAUUCGAAUCAUGCUUUGGACGUAAACGCUUUUAUCGCCCCCUCCCCCCCCCCCUCGUUCCAUUGAGAAUUUGCAAAUUAAGAAAUUCCUUUAUGCGUCUCGCUGCCGAUCUCGUAGUUGAGUUGCAUCGUGGAUGUAAUAUUAUUCGUGACGCUGGCCGAUUCGGAUGGUAAAACCGAGUCGUUGUUAUUGAACGGUUUUAUUGCGCAGUGAGAAUCUAACGAAGUGUGGAUAAUGUGAUGGUUAUAGCAGUUCUAUCUUUUGUGCAGCUAAGUUUUUUUCUGGUCGAUUUGUAUGCAUUACUGUUGAUGAACUGAGAAGCAUCGAUUGCAUUAAAAAAACUGAUUUUAUUUAUGAUGUAAAAAUAAAAAAAAAUCAAAAGUAAAAAUUCCUUGAGUUUUCAGGAUAAAAAGAAUCCUCUGACAUAGCCGGUUUUCCCAGCUUUUCAUGAUCGCUAUAGGUGCUGUCGAAAAUACGCGUCAGCUGUCUUACUGUAGGCUAAUCUGCGUAAAGUAAGUUCGUACACUGUAUAAUCGUCAGUACAGCGACCUUAUUCUAAAAAUAUGUUACUUUUCAUAUUAAUAAUGAUCUCAUGAUCUCUGAAUAUACAACACAUUCAAUGGUGUAAUCAGCAGCAUGACUCAUCCUCCUAAUAUCUAUUAUCUCCGACGAUGUAUUAGUCUCUUCUACAUUUUCGCCACGAGUCACGGCAUAGAGACACGUAUCAUUAUCCUCAACUAUAUGUAUACAUACCUCCAAGCUCACUAUUAGGCACCAUAUAGCACCUUCUCCAAUUUCUGUCUAUUCGCAGCAUAAAAGCCAGGCUACAGCGAUAUCAUUCUCAACCGUCUGGUGGCGCUGGCCUCGUCUCUUAUCAUCAUUUAUGAAUCAGCUGAUCCCCGCGACGUUGCGUGUGUGUUUCGUGGGCUCUACUCGACGUAUACUUACCGCGCAUGUGUGGUAGUAGUGCUAACCGAGGAUCCAGACGAGACACACACGGUACAAAGAAUAUAUCCGUAGCUUUAUUUAUUUACCUCGAGACGAGAGACAGCAGCAGCAUCCGAAAUGUCUCUGAACACGGCGCACGCCAACGGCGGUGUUCUCAUACACGCCGGCGAGUGUAUACUGCUGUUUAGCGAUAAUGUGUCGAUGGAGUUUCAUGGGCAGGAGAUGCCAGAGUUUUUAGGGACGAAAAAAGGCAGACUGUACCUGACAACGCAUAGAAUGAUAUUCAAUGCCAAGGACCAAAGGGAAAAGAUGCAAUCUUUCAGUUUUCCGUUCAUUACGUUAAGAGAAGUCGAAGUUGAACAGCCUAUGUUUGGAGCCAACUACAUCAAGGGCAAAUGCAGAGCACAGCCAAAUGGCAAUUGGAUUGGAGAGUGCAAAUUCAAGCUGCACUUCAAGAGCGGUGGAGCUAUUGAGUUUGGUUCGGCAAUGUUGCGAGCUGCUCAACUAGCUCAAAGGAAUGGCCCUGACUUUGUUGAUGCUCCUCCACCGUAUCAACCACCAUCGUCGAGCUGGUACGCAGCUCCACCACCAGCUUAUCAAGCAGCUCCGACCGGAUACUAUGGAUGGAUGCCACCUACGAAUGCAUUCCCGGAGCAACCACCAGCGAAUAGUGUGUUCAUGACGGACAUGCCACCGCCGUACCCAGGUAUAAACGCGAAUUACCAGGGUUACGCGAGCGGAGGCACGGCGCCACCACAGCAGCCAGGAGCCUGGGGAGCGCCAGCCCAGCAUCCCCAGCAACAUCCCCAACAGAAUGGACAGCCCGGCUGGGCCAAUCCGAAUUACAACGGCGGCCAGCCGAUGUCCCAAGCAGGUGUGUACCCCAAUUACGGCCAGCAGAAUCCUCCGCCGUAUUCUCCCUACAUGCAACAGGGUUACGGUGCACCCUCGCAAGGUCCCUAUCCGCCCCAACAGCCUGGAGUCUAUGGUCAGCCUCAAGCUGGGCCCUAUGCUCAACCGGGAGCCUAUCCUUAUCCAUCAAAUCCAAACCCGUACUAAGAUGCAUAGCCCCUUCCUCUGACAAACUAGACCCGUAUUUUAUUUCUUUUAUUUUUUUUCUGAAACCAGUUUCUAUUUUUCUAGUUUUUAUUAUUUAAUUAAAAUAAUGUGAUCGCGGGUAAAGUCAAUAGUGGCUCGCGAUUCGAAGGCCUGAAAACUCGGUCUUUGCUUUAAUUAUUGUAGAUAAAAUUUGUUUUAAGUUAUAUAACAAGGUGGUCAUUAUGAUUUUUAAAGAAAGUAUUACGGCUUUUGUACGUUUUGUAUUUUAAAAUUACUUCUAAAAACAACAUACCAAAGAAUAGCAGCGCAUUAAAAUUUACAGUCCACUAAUGCCUUUACUCUUUUAAAGUCGCGUAUAAGACUCGUCUUGACGAUUCUGUUUGAGCGCUAUAAGAGCUUCAUUAGGAAUUCACGGUCUCUCACUUCAACAGCCAAUGUUGUUGAUCAUUCGCUAUAUAACGCAUAAAACGAUCACGACUAAUCGUGAUCCGAUAUAAUCGCAAUAAUAUACUUUUAUAUAUUCCAUUGUAUUUAAGAAAGUAACUUUUAAGAUAGAUUGUAUUUUAUAUUCACUUAUCAGCACAAUUAUAAGUACGUAAUAUAACGGCAAAGGAUAAUAUAUCUUUAGAAAAGAUCAGUCGGCUGUAUACGCCUAAUCCUGUACACUUUAGCAUAUUCGUAUAAAAAUUAAUUGUUAACUCUGUCCUCCUGUUAUUGCGAUCAAAGCUUUAUUAUAUUACACGAAAAAAAAUAUUAAACUUGAAAAGUUGAUUGUCACUAUUAAACAUUGUCACAUAGUACUAUGCUGCAUUUUCAUUUACACAAACCUGCCAAAGAAAAGAAAACGGGAUGUAUGUUAAGCAAAAAAAGAGGAAAAAAAAAUCGUAUAACAACUAAUUGGACGUUUUGUGAUCGACGGUGCAUACAUUACAACAUCGCAAUUUAGCGAUUUCACCGUUGGGGUACUAUAUACCUAUACAUAAGCGCGCGGACCCACAUAUACGUUCGAAGUGUUUUGAAUAUUAUGUAAUAACGGGAGAUUGCAUAAGCGACUCGCAGCGGCCCCGGCAGUCGUGCUAAGAAGGUGGCACAGACUCUGGCUUUCACUGUGCGCGCGCGCGCGCGCGCGCUGUCUUGGGGCCCCGAAGCCUCGCGCUUAUUAUCUCAUAGUUUAGUCAUAGUCGGUCGACUCUCGGACGCUUAGCUGCUUUUUCCCUGGCACGGCCAAUUUGCGCGCGGCAUACAUAACAUAACGUGCGCCGAUUUCUUUCGUUCACCUGCACUCGCACGCGCUGCACCAGUUCGUGGAAAAGUGUAAUUGAAACUUGCGUUCGCGACCUGGCAUUGAACGCACUUAUACUUGCACUGCAUUCUUUCGCUUGUCUCGAGAGGAGAUGCUGCUGCUGCGGGUUACGACAGUAUGCGAAUUAGAAAAGAGAGAUCUAUCGUGAAUUGACCAGAAGUUUUAUUCUUUUUCGUCUAUUUCGUUUUUUACGACUUUUUAUUGUGAUACUUUGUUGUUGUUGUUGUUGUUGUUGUUGUUGUUAUGCCGUCGAAAAGUAAUUUUGGUGCGACGAAGGUGGCCCCUUGUGCGUGGUAUUUAUAUUAUGCUAAGGCUGCGGAAGCUGCGCAAAGUGCUUAUUAUGAUCCCAACAGACCACAGUGUGCAUACGUGCCACCACCAGCAUACUACGAAAGUCCACCGAGUUUUCAACAGGCAACGGA